GCCUUAAAUCUAGCCCCCAUGAUCCGCAUGAUACUCCCCAACACCUGUAAAAAAUAAAACAUUUUAACAUUUUAGUAUAGGCGAUAGAAAAAUUAUUAGGCGCUUUAGACAGAGUACCGCAAGGGAAAUAUGAAAUAGUAGUGAAACAAUUUUAUAGCCACAAACAGCAGAGACACUCCCUCGUACCUUUCGCAUCAUGGUCUAGCUAGUCCACCCGAGCAAAAUGAAAAUUUUAGUUCGACACCCCGAAACUAGACGAGCUACUUCAAAACAGCCCACAGGGGCCAACCCCUCUCUGUUGCAAAAGAGUGGGAAGAUUUUUAAGUAGAGGUGACAAGCCUACCGAGCCUAGAGAUAGCUGGUUGUUCAGGAAAAGAGUUUUAGCUCUGCCUUAAGUUUUUUCAUUUCAUCAAACAAGCCCUUAAACUUAAGAGUUAUUCAAAUUAGGCACAGCUUAUUUGAAACAGGAUACGACCUCCACCACCGGGUAAACAAGGGUAGUUAAAACUAAGUGGGCCUAAAAGCAGCCACCUUCCAAAAAGCGUCAAAGCUUAUCUACUCCAACCCACAAUUUCUAAAAUACUCCCUAACCCUUCAUUCCUACUGACCCCUUUUAUAUUAUUAUAAAAAUAAUUAUGCUAGAACUAGUAACAAGAAGUUGCCCUUCUCCAUAAUGUAAGUAUAAACCAAAACGGACCUUCCAUUGGUAAUUAACGUAAAUGUAAACCCCAUAAUAACAUAACCAGAAAACCUUAUGGCCCCACACGUUACUCUAACACUAGAACAUUACAGGAAAGAUUAAAAGAGAAAGAAGGAACUCGGCAAAUUUUAACCCCGCCUGUUUACCAAAAACAUCGCCUCUUG
rnacentral:rRNA from 1 species